rnacentral:rRNA from 1 species
GGAUUAGAUACCCUGGUAGUCCACGCCGUAAACGUUGUGCACUAGACUGUUGCGGUUUUGACGCCGUAGCGGUCGUAGAGAAAUUAUUAAGUGCACCGCCUGGGGAGUACGGUCGCAAGGCUAAAACUCAAAGGAAUUGACGGGGGCUCACACAAGCGGUGGAGCAUGUUGCUUAAUUCGAAACAACGCGAAGAACCUUACCUGGGUUUGACAUGCACGGAUUAGUCCUGGGAAACCAGGGUGACGCCCUUUGGGUGGAACGUGCACAGGUGCUGCAUGGCUGUCGUCAGCUCGUGCCG